CGCGACCCCAGGUCAGGCGGGAUUACCCGCUGAGUUUAACAUAUC
rnacentral:rRNA from 1 species